rnacentral:rRNA from 1 species
UACCAGCACCCCGAGUUGUCGGGACGAUUAUUGGGCCUAAAGCAUCCGUAGCCUGUUCUACAAGUCCUCCGUUAAAUCCACCUGCUCAACAGCUGGGCUGCGGGGGAUACUAUAGGGCUAGGAGGCGGGAGAGGCAAACGGUACUCAGUGGGUAGGGGUAAAAUCCAUUGAUCUACUGAAGACCACCAGUGGCGAAGGCGGUUUGCCAGAACGCGCUCGACGGUGAGGGAUGAAAGCUGGGGGAGCAGACCGG